AUUGCCCUAAAGUUGCUAGACACUGACACAGAUUUUCUAACAUUACAGCUCUCAUCCCAGUACCUCCCUGACUGAAAACCCCUGGAGAUAAGUAGCCAGUUCAUAUGCAUAUUGAAAAGUGAGGCAUUCCCAGCAUCUGCAAGAUAUUGGAGUUAUUUCCUGAAUACUUGACCUCUGAAAUAUGACAAUAGGUCUGUAAAUCUCUACUGUUUAUAAGGUCACACACAGAGGAUGCACCAACAAGGUCCAGUGAGGAUACAGAGAUGAUGGUGUGCCAGAAACCAGAGCCCUUGAAACAGACCAGUGACACAUUGCAAUGGACAUUUGCUAGUAAAACUGAUGGGGCAAAGAGGAAUACUUCAUGGUACACUGAAGCUUCCACUGACAACAGGAUGAAUAAAAUGUAUUGGAAAAGCA